UAUAUAUAUAUAUAUAUAUAUAUAUAUAUAUAUAUAUACUUAAGGCAUCUGUAUGAUUUAAACGAAGAUUGCGAAUAUGAAUUUUUUUCUGAUAGUAACUUUGUAUUGCCCCAGUAUUAAAUUAAAUUAAAUUGUUACUUAAUUACGUAAAUGAUUC